ACUUGUAUAGCUUAUAUUUAGAGCAUAACAUUGAAGAUGUUGUUGAGGUUAUAUUUACCUUCAAGUG
rnacentral:tRNA from 1 species